rnacentral:rRNA from 1 species
AGAGUUUGAUCCUGGCUCAGAACGAACGUUGGCGGCAUGGAUUAGGCAUGCAAGUCGAACGAAUCCCAAGGAGCAAUCUGAGGGGGAAGUGGCGAAAGGGGCAGUAAUACCUGGAUAACCUACCCUGGGGAUGGGCAUAGCCGUUCUAACGAGCGAGUAAUACCCAGCGAUUCGGCGGGUCGGCAUCGAUCUGCCGGGAAAUGAAUUUCGCCUCGGGAGGGGUCCAGGAGCUAUCAGGUAGUUGGUGGGGUAACGGCUCACCAAGCCUUAGACGGCUAGCGGGUGUGAGAGCACGACCCGCGCCACUGGCACUGAGACACUGGCCAGACACCUACGGGUGGCUGCAGUCGAGGAUCUUCGUCAAUAGGCGCAAGCCUGAACGAGCGAUGCCGCGUGAGCGAUGAAGGCCUUCGGGUUGUAAAGCUCAAAAGAGAUGAGAAAGGGAAACUUGAUCGAAUCUCAGUAAGCUCGGGCUAAGUUCGUGCCAGCAGCCGCGGUAAU